UCCAGACUCCUACGGGAGGCAGCAGUGGGGGAUAUUGCACAAUGGGGGGAACCCUGAUGCAGCGACGCCGCGUGGGUGAAGGAGCGUUUCGGCGCGUAAAGCCCUAUCGGCAGGGAAGAAGGAGGACGGUACCUGACUAAGAAGCCCCGGCUAACUACGUGCCAGCAGCCGCGGUAAUACGUAGGGGGCAAGCGUUAUCCGGAUUUACUGGGUGUAAAGGGAGCGUAGACGGCAGGGCAAGCCAGAAGUGAAAACGCAGAGCUUAACUUUGCGACUGCUUUUGGAACUGCCCAGCUAGAGUACAGGAGAGGUAAGUGGAAUUCCUAGUGUAGCGGUGAAAUGCGUAGAUAUUAGGAGGAACACCAGUGGCGAAGGCGGCUUACUGGACUGAGACUGACGUUGAGGCUCGAAAGCGUGGGGAGCAAACAGGAUUAGAUACCCCAGUAU
rnacentral:rRNA from 1 species